rnacentral:tRNA from 1 species
GGGGUAUGGCUCAGUGGUAGAGCACUUGCCUAGCAUGCAAAAGGUCCUGGAUUCAAUCCUCAAAAAAUAUCCCA